UACGUAGGGUGCAGGCGUUGUCCGGAAUUAUUGGGCGUAAAGAGCUCGUAGGCGGUCUGUUGCGUCGGCUGUAAAAACCCGAGGCUCAACCUCGGGCCUGCAGCCGAUACGGGCAGACUAGAGUUCGGCAGGGGAGACUGGAAUUCCUGGUGUAGCGGUGAAAUGCGCAGAUAUCAGGAGGAACACCGGUGGCGAAGGCGGGUCUCUGGGCCGAUACUGACGCUGAGGAGCGAAAGCGUGGGGAGCGAACAGG
rnacentral:rRNA from 1 species